AAGCGUGGGGAGCAACCAGGAUUAGAUACCCUGGUAGUCCACGCCGUAAACGAUGAAUAUUAGGUGUUGGGAAGCAUUGCUUCUGGGUGCCGUCGCAAACCCAGUAAGUAUUCCACCUGGGGAGUACGUUGGCAAGAAUGAAAUUCAAAGGAAUGGACGGGGACCCGCCCAAGCGGUGGAGCAUGUGGUUUAAUUGGAAGCAACGGGAAGACCCUUACCAAGUCUGGACAUCCUUUUGACCGGUACUUAUCCGUACCUUCUUUUCGGAGCAGGAGUGCCAGGUGGUGCAUGGUGGUGGUCAGCUCGGGUCGUGAGAUGUUGGGUUAAGUCCCGCAACGAGCGCAACCCUUUUCUCUAGUAGCCACCGGUAAGGCCGGGCACUCUAGAGAGACUGCCAGGGAUAACCUGGAGGAAGGCGGGGAUGACGUCAAAUCAUCAUGCCCCUUAUGAUUUGGGCUACACACGUGCUACAAUGGCGUAAACAAAGGGAAGCAAAGCCGUGAAGCCGAGCAAAUCUCAAAAAGAACGUCUCAGUUCGGACUGUAGUCUGCAACCCGACUACACGAAGCUGGAAUCGCUAGUAAUCGCAGAUCAGAAUGUUGCGGUGAAUACGUUCCCGGGUCUUGUACACACCGCCCGUCACGCCAUGGGAGUCGGGAAUGCCCGAA
rnacentral:rRNA from 1 species